GCAGCAAAAGUUUUGGCCGGUCCCAUAAAAAAUAGUUCCAGCAAAAAAGAUUGUUGUCCCGGUCAUAGGUAUUGUAUGAUUCCACUCUACUCCUCUGUAGUUAUUUGGCUGAAGAUGUGCAUUAGUGGUUGGCUGUGAUAAUACAUAUAGUAAGAUUGCAUGUUAUGCUUAGCAGAGCUUAGCGGAAAUUUGCUAGAGGAGUUGCAACAGCCUUGAUCAAAUAUUAUUUUCAUUAUUCCUUCUUGGUUUUAGAUAAUCUUCAUCGAAAUUUGCUAGAGAAGUUGCAACAGCUUUGGUCAAAUAUUAUUUUUAUUAUUCUUUGUUGGGUUUAGACAAUAAAGUAGAGAAUCAAAAUCCUUCUACUAUAUGUGUACCUGUAAUAGAGCAACGCUUGUUGCAGCUAGCUGCAGGAAGGACCAACUUGACUUGAUGGGGAUACAAUCACCAAGAAAGAUUCAUACCUGAACUUACCUUUAUGCAUUGCACGAACUACCAAGAUAUUGUAUCUUCCUGUAUGAUCCAUAACUCAUAGACACAUGAGUAGCGAUGGGAUACUAUUUGGUAUGAACAACAUCAUCGUGUUGCAAUUCUAACAUGUAUUCAUUGAACUUAUUUAUCCACAUAAUAGUGAUGCAUCUUACGUAUCUGUCUAUUGUAUCUGAAUCUAAAAUGUAAUUAACUCCUUAAUUUGCCUUCAACAGGAUUGAUAUUUAAAUUAACCAUUUUUUAUAAUGACAAUGAACAUGUCAUUUCUAAGCACUGGCAUGCACUUUUUAUUUCAUGUCGAUAACACGGUGAUGCUUCGCGAAAUGUUUGAACAGGGUAGAUAGCCAUUCAACUAGGGGGAGCUGAUUUUUCCCCGUUGCAAUGCACGGGCACUUUUGCUAGAAGUAGAGGCAUUUAUUAACUGAAGCAAAGUCGCUCUGUCUUUAUCAUGUCAAUAGGCAAUUGUGCCUACAAAUUAGACAAUAGGGGGGAUUUAGCAAGUCACCAGCUCCGAAAGCAUAAAAAAUAAUUCAGUAUAUAGGCGACUACUCGAUUUUGAAGAGGUACUUCUCCAAAAAAGAUAGUACGUGAGCCUUUUCUAAGCUGUAGGAUAUCAUAGUCUGCUCUGCUAGCUGUAAAUUGUAAGAUAGGUGGCUGCAUGUCUCAUAUUCCCGCAUGCUCGACACUGAGAUAACCAUCUCAUCGGCUUCUGGUAAGCUCCCUCUCGACAUGCUUGCAUACCGGACAGUUUUGGUGCAUUUGUAGUAGCUCGUAUCAAUGGUUUCAGCUCUGCUAAACAAUGGGUUCAAUUAUUUCAUUAGUCUUAGCUACUGUGAUUUGAUAAGGGAUAUACUAACAAAUUUUGUUUGGUUCACUUGAACUCCGCCCCUUAAAGAGGUACUAUAUCUUAUCAAGCCUGCGAGACACUGAGCACUCCUCCCUAUCCGACCACAAUUCUUCCAACCCAAUACAGUAGCUCAAGGCGUCAUCGAUGGUCUAGCAGCGAUCCGUAGCAACGCACGGGCACAUUUACUAGUUAUGCUCAUGAGGGAGUCGUUGCAUAAACCGGCUCUUCUCUAGUUGUGUCUAGUCUUAACCAUUAUUUUCUCUUCUCCUUUGGGAAGCCCUGCCUUCCUUAUAUAUGUUGAAGGGACGGUUUACAUGACUAGUCCUAGUUGGAUUAGGAUUACUCUAUUACAAGUGGAAUCCUAGUCUUGCUUUCUUUGUAGGAGAAUAUUCCUUAUGAUUUUCUCAUAAACCGGCCCAUCAUUAACAUGAACCGGCCUUCUGGGCCUUGGGCCUUGUCAUUCGUCUGACCUGCCCGCUGGAUCACCAGUGAGUCAUAAUGUUUAGGCGGGUUGCAUCAAGUCAGGGCGGGUCGCCAGUGAAUCGCCAAGUGUCAGCCAGGUCUUAAGUAAAUCGCCAAGUCCGGUCGGGUCAUAUUUUCGGCCGGGUUAUAUAGCGGGGUAUAUCCCCGACAGUACCUCCUCGCGAAACUCAUGGAAAGGUACACAAUAGGUCUGGUACAAAUCAUAGCAUACUUUAUAGAACCUAUGGCUGAGGCAUAGGAAAUGACUUUCAUUCUCUUUCUAUUUUCUGCUGUGGUCGGUUUUGAGUCUUACUCAACUUCACAUCUUACAAUAUAGGCAAGAACUCCUUCUUUGACUGAUCUAUUUUGAACGUCUUCAAAAUCUUGUCGAGGUAUGUGCUUUGUGAAAGUCCUUUUAAGUGUCUCGAUCUAUCCCUACAGAUCUUGAUGCCCAAUAUAUAAGUAGCUUCACCGAGGUUUUCUAUCAGAAAACUCUUAUUCAAGUAUCUUUUUAUGCUAUCCAAAAAUUCUAUAUCAUUUCCAAUCAACAAUAUGUCAUUCACAUAUAAUAUUAGAAAUGCUACAGAGCUCCCACUCACUUUCUUGUAAAUACAGCCUUCACCAUAAGUCUGUAUAAAAACAUAUGCUUUGAUCACCUUAUCAAAGCGUAUAUUCCAACUCUGAAAUGCUUGCACCAGUUCAUAGAUGAACCACUAGAGCUUGCACACUUUGUUAGGACCUUUAAGAUCGACAAAACCUUUUGGUUGCAUCUACAACUCUUCUUUGAGAAAUCCAUUAAGGAAUACAGUUUUGACGUCCAUUUGCCAGAUUUCAUAAUCAUAAAAUGUGGCAAUUGCUAACAUGAUUCGGACAGACUUAAGCAUCGCUACGGGUGAGAAGGUCUCAUCAUCGUCAACUCUUUGAACUUGUCAAAAACCUUUUGCAAAAAGACGAACUUUGUAGACAGUAAUAUUACCAUCAGCGUCAGUCUUCUUCUUGAAGAUCCAUUUAUUCUGUAUGGCUUGCCGAUCAUCGGGCAAGUCAACCAAAGUCCAUACUUUUUUUUCAUACAUGGAUCCUAUUUCAGUUUCAUGGCCUCAAGCCAUUUGUCGGAAUCUGGG
rnacentral:lncRNA from 1 species